CAGGAAUUUGGACCCAUAGCUCCUAUAUCUUUUAUACUGGAGUUAUAGGAGUUUUGGAUUUCAUUGUUGUAAAAUGUCUUUGAAUAUGUUAUUUACUAAUUUAUGUUCUUCAUCAUAUAUUCUUACAUAUAUAGACUAGUGUUUCUUUUUUGUUAAUCAUGGUGCAUAUCAUCCCGUUGUAAAAUUACCAUGUAUAGUUUUUUUU
rnacentral:lncRNA from 1 species